GUGACAGAAGAGAGUGAGCACACGGCCGGGCGUGACGGCACCGGCGGGCGUGCCGUCGCGGCCGCGUGCUCACUGCUCUUUCUGUCAU
rfam:Oryza glaberrima chromosome 4 Oglab04_0246_4, whole genome shotgun sequence.